UUAUGUAAACGGUCUAGUAGACUAUGUAGUAUCUACCAUUCACGUAUCAGGUUUGGUUAUGUAAACGGUCUAGUAGACUAUGUAGUAUCUACCAUUCACGUAUCAGGUUUGGUUAUGUAAACGGUCUAGUAGACUAUGUAGUAUCUACCAUUCACGUAUCAGGUUUGGUUAUGUAAACGGUCUAGUAGACUAUGUAGUAUCUACCAUUCACGUAUCAGGUUUGGUUAUGUAAACGGUCUAGUAGACUAUGUAGUAUCUACCAUUCACGUAUCAGGUUUGGUUAUGUAAAUGGUCUAGUAGACUAUGUAGUAUCUACCAUUCACGUAUCAGGUUUGGUUAUGUAAACAGUCUAGUAGACUAUGUAGUAUCUACCAUUCACGUAUCAGGUUUGGUUAUGUAAACGGUCUAGUAGACUAUGUAGUAUCUACCAUUCACGUAUCAGGUUUGGUUAUGUAAACGGUCUAGUAGACUAUGUAGUAUCUACCAUUCACGUAUCAGGUUUGGUUAUGUAAACGGUCUAGUAGACUAUGUAGUAUCUACCAUUCACGUAUCAGGUUUGGUUAUGUAAAUGGUCUAGUAGACUAUGUAGUAUCUACCAUUCACGUAUCAGGUUUGGUUAUGUAAAUGGUCUAGUAGACUAUGUAGUAUCUACCAUUCACGUAUCAGGUUUGGUUAUGUAAACAGUCUAGUAGACUAUGUAGUAUCUACCAUUCACGUAUCAGGUUUGGUUAUGUAAACGGUCUAGUAGACUAUGUAGUAUCUACCAUUCACGUAUCAGGUUUGGUUAUGUAAACGGUCUAGUAGACUAUGUAGUAUCUACCAUUCACGUAUCAGGUUUGGUUAUGUAAACAGUCUAGUAGACUAUGUAGUAUCUACCAUUCACGUAUCAGGUUUGGUUAUGUAAAUGGUCUAGUAGACUAUGUAGUAUCUACCAUUCACGUAUCAGGUUUGGUUAUGUAAAUGGUCUAGUAGACUAUGUAGUAUCUACCAUUCACGUAUCAGGUUUGGUUAUGUAAAUGGUCUAGUAGACUAUGUAGUAUCUACCAUUCACGUAUCAGGUUUGGUUAUGUAAACGGUCUAGUAGACUAUGUAGUAUCUACCAUUCACGUAUCAGGUUUGGUUAUGUAAACGGUCUAGUAGACUAUGUAGUAUCUACCAUUCACGUAUCAGGUUUGGUUAUGUAAAUGGUCUAGUAGACUAUGUAGUAUCUACCAUUCACGUAUCAGGUUUGGUUAUGUAAACGGUCUAGUAGACUAUGUAGUAUCUACCAUUCACGUAUCAGGUUUGGUUAUGUAAAUGGUCUAGUAGACUAUGUAGUAUCUACCAUUCACGUAUCAGGUUUGGUUAUGUAAACGGUCUAGUAGACUAUGUAGUAUCUACCAUUCACGUAUCAGGUUUGGUUAUGUAAACGGUCUAGUAGACUAUGUAGUAUCUACCAUUCACGUAUCAGGUUUGGUUAUGUAAACGGUCUAGUAGACUAUGUAGUAUCUACCAUUCACGUAUCAGGUUUGGUUAUGUAAACGGUCUAGUAGACUAUGUAGUAUCUACCAUUCACGUAUCAGGUUUGGUUAUGUAAAUGGUCUAGUAGACUAUGUAGUAUCUACCAUUCACGUAUCAGGUUUGGUUAUGUAAACAGUCUAGUAGACUAUGUAGUAUCUACCAUUCACGUAUCAGGUUUGGUUAUGUAAACGGUCUAGUAGACUAUGUAGUAUCUACCAUUCACGUAUCAGGUUUGGUUAUGUAAAUGGUCUAGUAGACUAUGUAGUAUCUACCAUUCACGUAUCAGGUUUGGUUAUGUAAAUGGUCUAGUAGACUAUGUAGUAUCUACCAUUCACGUAUCAGGUUUGGUUAUGUAAACAGUCUAGUAGACUAUGUAGUAUCUACCAUUCACGUAUCAGGUUUGGUUAUGUAAACGGUCUAGUAGACUAUGUAGUAUCUACCAUUCACGUAUCAGGUUUGGUUAUGUAAAUGGUCUAGUAGACUAUGUAGUAUCUACCAUUCACGUAUCAGGUUUGGUUAUGUAAAUGGUCUAGUAGACUAUGUAGUAUCUACCAUUCACGUAUCAGGUUUGGUUCCAUCCGAUGAUACUUUGUGGGUCAGUGUUUUGGUUUAGGUGCACUGCUUAAACACCAAGUUAUUGGCAUUGUAUAUUUGAAUAUUUACUAUGUCUAAAAACGCUACCAAAUCAGUUAUUCUAGUACAUACAAAAAGCUGAAACAUUUGGUAAGAAUAUUUAU